rnacentral:rRNA from 1 species
GACGAACGCUGGCGGCGUGCUUAAUACAUGCAAGUCGAACGGAAAGGCCCUGAUUUUGUGGGGUGCUCGAGUGGCGAACGGGUGAGUAACACGCGAGUAUCCUGUCCUUGACUUUGGGAUAACUUUAGGAAACUGGGGCUAAUAUCGGAUAGGAGCUCCUGCUGCAUGGUGGGGGUUGGAAAGUUUCGGCGGUUGGGGAUGGACUCGCGGCUUAUCAGCUUGUUGGUGGGGUAGUGGAUUACCAAGGCUUUGACGGGUAGCCGGCCUGAGAGGGUGACCGGCCACAUUGGGACUGGGGUACGGCCCAGACUCCUACGGGAGGAAGCAGCGGGGAAUAGUGCACAAAGGGCGGAAGCCUGAUGCAGCAACGCCGCAUGCGGGAUGACGGCCUUCGGGUUGUAAACCGCUUUCGCGUGUGACGAAGCGUGAGUGACGGUAAUGGGUAAAGAAGCACCGGCAAACUACGU